AGGAAGGAAGGAAGGAAGGAAGGAAGGAAGGAAGGAAGGAAAAACAGACAGAUGGACAGACUGACCAUCCCUAAACCAACUAGCAAAUAUACUACCUGCCAUAAUAAUUGUAGAGAAAUUUAUAGAGCAAUUUUAUUUAUCCCAGUAUUGUUUCUUGGGCUACUUUUAGGGUAAAAACCUCUCAAGGUAUCUUAUAUAGAAGACUUCAGGCCAUGGUUUUUGUUUUUGUUUUUUUUUUCUAGAAGUAAGGGCCACUCUCUUGAGAGGACAUUACUCCCUGCUAAGCAUAUGCAGGAUCCUGCCUCAAAAGUAUCCAUGACUUCCCUUUGUACAAACACAUUUGCAAACAUGCUUAACCCUAAGCAAAGGGGGAUGCACAACUGCCAACAGGGGGACACUGGGUUUCCCCGAGUGCAAUCCUAUCACCCCCAUCUUUGAUGCAUAUAAAGGACUGGGCUUGACCUUCAGAGCCCUGGACUGAGGUUGCAGCACCUCAAUGCUGGGCCUUCAAAACCUCCUUUGGCUCCCCAGAGGGUGUGGGGAGGCCAUAGGAUUGUGUCCCUAAGGGCACCCUUAGUGAUUGCUAUCUGUGCAUUAUGGGAAGGAAUUAAUUUGAAAAUAGGCACCAUAUGUUCUGUAGAAGACAGACAUGUAUUGAAUAGAUCAAAUCAUUCUCACACUGUCACAAUAUUAAGGACUCAUAGCACAGUUGGAUAUAAACUUAAACUGUAUAACAUUGAAUGUAUUGGAUGCUCUGUAUAGGAAUCUCUAAUGCCGGAGAUAGUCCUUCAUAAAAAUCUUCAUCUUGCAUAUUUUCUAUCAGUAAAACUCUGAUUUAAAAGCAUUCAUUUAUUCCAAAAGAGAAAAUAUUCAACAUAUUUCAUAGGAGUUUUAUUUCUCCUAUGUUAAACAUACCUAGAUGUCCCAGUGGUAGUAGCAAGCCUUCUUUUUCAUUUUCCAAUCCACCCACCCCCUGCACACGUGUGCGCACACACACACACACACCUGCUUGCACAAACAGCAGAAUCAAAUGUGUUAGCAAUCUGGCACCAUUUCGCUUCUACAUUCAUUCAAGGGUGUUGUGGGAAGAAAAUGAUGUCUAUAUCAAAAUACUAGCAGAGCAUACUUGGAGACAGUUCUGCAAAGUGGCUUUUUUUUCUUCAGGGACAGGGAUUAGGAAAAACAGCACAGAAACAUUUUUUUUUUCCUUAGAUAAAUGCCUUCUGAAAAAUGUUGGCUCAGGUUGGAAGCUAACUCCCUUUCAUACCAGAAGUAGGUCUUCAGUGCCCAUACUCUAUCCAUAAGUUAGAUACCUCAACAAUUGCUACUAAUGGCCUACCUGUUCCUUCUUUUGAGGGUGGGAUGUGCUUAUCCUAGGUCUUUAUGGGCAUAAAAUGACAGGUGCCUCUACAGAUUCAUCAUUAUGCCACAUAGCAUGAGUUAAGGCUAAAAUAUUCUAGAUGGGAGAUAUAAUAGUACCUUCUCACAAUUCCAACUGCAUUACAUGAAUAGAAAAGGAGACACACACAUUUACCUCUGAGUUUUUUAAACUCCGCUGUAGCAAAGCUUCACAUCUGUUAUGGUGGCUGCAAGGAAAUGGAUAACAAUAUUCCAGGUAACCGCUUUUGAAAUUCUGGCCCUCAGCACUUCUGUGAUCAGUAAGCAAGUGUUGGUAGGAUUGGCAUGAAGGAAUAUGAGACUUGCUGCUGCCAGACAAAGGUACUGGGUCAAGAACAUUCGAGCCAACAAUCCCUCCCAGGCUUACAACUCAUGAGUCAAUUAGUGCAAGUCGAAAGCUGUUAUUCCUUGAAUGCACAGGCUGAAAUCACAGUGAAGGUGCUUAGAAACAAGUGAAAUGGCAGAGAAUUACAACCACAGAAGAAUAUAACAAGCUGUAACUAAUGGGAAAAUCCAAACUAUAAUGUGAAGUCACACAGCCUUUGUGCCAAAAUUCCUUGAAAUAUGGCAGUGUUUUGCAGUUUGGGAGAUGAUGUGUUUGUCCAGUUCAUAUACUUCCUGGAUCCCAUGAGAUGGUUACAGGUAGGCCUGUGUCUCAGCUGGGAUCAAGGCCAGGGGCAGAUUUGAACUGGGCUCCCAGCUAUUUUCCCUCUGAUCUCCCUACUUGCAAGGCAGGUGGAUGCGAUGGGUUUCUCUGGAACUGUUACUCACAGUGAGUGACAGCAAUGUUCUGGUCCCUGUUAGGUGGUCCUGAGCAGGCAUUUUAGUCUCACAUCAUACAGCACAUGCCCAGAAUUGCUCCAGGACAAGGAACCUGAGGCAGAUCCCUGAUCAGAGGGGUAGAAUUGUUUUAAGAGGAGGAUCUAGUAAGGCUUUGUGUUGCAGCCUGCCAGGGAGCGGGGACUCCAGCAUGCCUUCUGUGGAAACCAGGGCUGGCUAGGAUCUUUUGGUGUCUUCAUGGUAGGUAUGCAAUCAAGGGACUCUUGUAAGUUGUUCAAUCAAAAACCGGUUCAGUGAUCAUACAAGCUGUAACUAAUGGGAAAAUCCAAACUUCACAGGAGGCUUCAAGUCAGACAACUGGCCUAAUGAACCCAGCUGGGUCAAGAGUCUAUCAAUAUCAGCUUGGUCAUUCCCCGGCUGAGCAUGUGGCCAUCAAGAGGUCCAUGAACUGGGGCUUCAAGCUGAAGUCCCUGAGAUGCAAACACUACAAGACUCAGAUUCAGUGAUGUCAGAUGUAUCUGCCUAAUCAUUCUGUUUAAAACCUUUACCCUUGUUGAGCCACGCCUAUGUUUCAGCUCACUUUGAUCUUUAUGAGUCAUGUUGAAGUCCCGAUUUGAUAGAACACGUUACUAAUCAGUUGAAAUAAAUAUUGCAUGGCACGCAUAGAAGUGACCCUCUUGCAUUUCUUGUAUUAGUGUUCAACAGCUAUGAAAAAUAGAAACCUUGAAUGAAAAUUGCACUUCAGUGAUGCCCAGUGGAAUUGCAUUGCAGAAGCUAAGCUGUCUGGGGUGAAGUUGGGGUGGAUGCAAGUUCAUCUCUGAGCUCUACAACAGAGUCCUUGGAAGCAGAGUGGGAUGCAAAAACUCCUGACAGCUCAGUUGUCUCCAGUGACCAGAGAACUUUGAAGACAGAAGAGCCACAGUCCAGCAAGAAUCAAAGAGGAAAAUAAAAAUCGGGGGAAGAAAAAAACUGGAGGUAGAAGAUGUGGGUUGCAGCUAUAUUCUGGACUUUUGCACAACCCUACACAUGCAGAGAAGUUCUACAGUCUCAGAUCAGAUUUACUGUAGGUAAGAACUCGCACUUACAAGCAUGGAAUCCUACCUGCUGCUUCUGCUUCUACUGGCUUCUUAGUGGAUAAGCUGGCUCAGAGAAAGAGUCCAGGAAUGUACCCUAAACUAGUUCCUGAUGGCACUAGAGCAUCAUGUGGUUCAAAAAACAAAAAUGAGAUACAAGGACCAUUCAGAAUCUGAAUGUUCAAGUGGAUGACAGUAUAUGGAAAGAUCUAUGGAAGAAGCCCCCUAAAGAUCAAUCUCAGAUUGUGUCAGAGAAAAAUGGAUAUAUACAUCAGCCAAGCAGAGACAUUCCAAGUGCACUUGGUUUACCUGUGGUGGAGGCUGAAGACAAAAAGACAUUUCUAUGAAUUUUCCCUGGUCUUAGAGAAUGUUCAUGAAAAUGCCACCUCAAUGUUGCAUCUUGAGAAUGGACUAUGAAAUCGGGUGGCAUUUGGCAGACAGCUUCAUUAUACACCUUCCAAUUUUGCUGGCAUUUACAACUUCCAUAGGUCUUCUACUGCCCACCAGGUGAGAGGGACCAGUUUUUGGGUGGAACAAGCACACGUCUCUGUUUUCCUUCUCUUCCUGAGUGCUGAUGCUGUGAGUAAAAGCCCACUGGACCCAAUCCUCAAGUUUGCACCAUGGGAGAGGACGGGCAGCAGUAGCUGCCCCUCGCUUCUGCUGUAUACCUGGAUCUGUGAGUGGGCCAAUGGCGGGUCAGCUCCCUCCACUCCCUUACCUGCCCUCACCUGCUUGUAGGUGAAUCACCCAAACAUUCACAUUCAGAAUUCACUGGACCAAAUCCCAGCUGCCGUAUCAUUCACAGGGAGAGAGCAGGAGAGGAAGAACAUCCCCUGAUCCGCACAACUGGCAUUCAUUUGUCCACUUGGGUUGGGCAGCUGCAGAAGUGUGAAGAGGGAUGACUUCCCUUUGCCUUUGGGGCAGGAGAGGCAGGAAGCAGGGAGGUGAAGGAGUUGCUGCCAGCAAAGCCAGUGGUUCAGCCCUGAGGAGGGAUAUAGUUACCCAAAGGGGGGGUCAACUUUCCAUGGCAUCCAGUUUUCACUGUCAGUGAUGUCAGAUGCUGCUGCUUGAAAACAGCCAAUCAGGGGCACAUCUCCUGGACAAUGCCAAGCUCUGAUGCUGCACUUGUUUGUCUCUCGCUACAAUAAGCUUGUUCAGCAAAGAGCUCAUUUAUGUUGCUUCCAGAAAAUGUUCUAGCAAAGGAUCUGAGAAGCCUUGAGAGAGAAAGAGCAGGAGAUCAGACGUAAAUCAAGCUCUCUUUGAACCCACUGGGGACCAAAUCGGACAAAUUAGUGCUACGAUAAAACCAUACUCUUCGUUGAUCUGUUGGACUGACCAUGCUACACCUGGCUCACAUAGGAAACAGCUUGCUCCAGGAGAAUCCUGCAAAGCUCCCUUCUCUCACACCAUUCCUGACAGGUAGCGAUGGAAGCGUUCAUCAGUUUUUAAGUUUCUGCCUGUUCCUCCCUUCAUCCUUUUAUGACUUUUCAGUGUUUUCUGAAAUGCAGAGUUGUUGCCUUUGACUUGUUUUGUUUUAAUUUGUCGUGCUUUUUUAUGUUGCUUUUAAAAAUAAAAGGUUGCAUGAAAAUUCAUAA